AGCAGCCGCGGUAAUUCCAGCUCCAAUAGCGUAUAUUAAAGUUGUUGCAGUUAAAAAGCUCGUAGUUGAAUUUCGGGAUCAAAUUGUCGGUCGUGCCUCGGUACGUACUGGCGUCAUUGGUUCCUACCUUCUGAAGAACCACGAUGUCAUUAAUUUGGUGUCGCGGGGAAUCAGGACUGUUACUUUGAAAAAAUUAGAGUGUUUAAAGCAGGCUCGCGCUUGAAUACAUUAGCAUGGAAUAAUGAAAUAGGACGUUUGAUUCUAUUUUGUUGGUUUCUAGGAUCGACGUAAUGAUUAAUAGGGAUAGUUGGGGGCAUUAGUAUUCAAUUGUCAGAGGUGAAAUUCUUGGAUUUAUUGAAGACUAACUACUGCGAAAGCAUUUGCCAAGGAUGUUUUCAUUAAUCAAGAACGAAAGUUAGGGAUCGAAGACGAUCAGAUACCGUCGUAGUCUUAACCAUAAACUAUGCCGACUAGGGAUCGGAUGAUGUUAAUUUUUUAUGUACUUCAUUCGGCGCCUUAC
rnacentral:rRNA from 1 species